AGAUACCCUGGUAGUCCACGCCGUAAAACGAUGUCGACUUGGAGGUUGUGCCCUUGAGGCGUGGCUUCCGGAGCUAACGCGUUAAGUCGACCGCCUGGGGAGUACGGCCGCAAGGUUAAAACUCAAAUGAAUUGACGGGGGCCCGCACAAGCGGUGGAGCAUGUGGUUUAAUUCGAUGCAACGCGAAGAACCUUACCUGGUCCUGACAUCCACGGAAGUUUUCAGAGAUGAGAAUGUGCCUUCGGGAACCGUGAGACAGGUGCUGCAUGGCUGUCGUCAGCUCGUGUUGUGAAAUGUUGGGUUAAGUCCCGCAACGAGCGCAACCCUUAUCCUUUGUUGCCAGCGGUCCGGCCGGGAACUCAAAGGAGACUGCCAGUGAUAAACUGGAGGAAGGUGGGGAUGACGUCAAGUCAUCAUGGCCCUUACGACCAGGGCUACACACGUGCUACAAUGGCGCAUACAAAGAGAAGCGACCUCGCGAGAGCAAGCGGACCUCAUAAAGUGCGUCGUAGUCCGGAUUGGAGUCUGCAACUCGACUCCAUGAAGUCGGAAUCGCCAGUAAUCGUGGAUCAGAAUGCCACGGUGAAUACGUUCCCGGGCCUUGUACACACCGCCCGUCACACCAUGGGAGUGGGUUGCAAAAGAAGUAGGUAGCUUAACCUUCGGGAGGGCGCUUACCACUUUGUGAUUCAUGACUGGGGUGAAGUCGUAACAAGGUAACCGUAGGGGAACCUGCGGCUGGAUCACCUCCUU
rnacentral:rRNA from 1 species